UGGCUCAGUGAGGCCUUCGGACUGGCCCAGGGAGGUCGGCAACGACCACCCAGGGCCGGAAAGUUGGUCAAACUCGGUCAUUUAGAGGAAGUAAAAGUCGUAACAAGGUCUCCGUAGGUGAACCUGCGGAGGGAUCAUUA
rnacentral:rRNA from 1 species